rnacentral:rRNA from 1 species
GACGAACGCUGGCGGCGCGCUUAACACAUGCAAGUCGAGCGAGAACCAGGGCUUCGGCCCUGGGGACAGCGGCGAACGGGUGAGUAACACGUGGGUAACCUGCCCUCGGCACCGGAAUAGCCCGGGGAAACCCGGAUUAAUGCUGGAUAGCCUCACGGACCCUCGGGUCUGUGAGAAAAGGUAGCUUCGGCUUCCGGCUGAGGAUGGGCCCGCGGCCGAUUAGCUUGUUGGUGAGGUAACGGCUCACCAAGGCGACGAUCGGUAGCUGGUCUGAGAGGACGAUCAGCCACACUGGGACUGAGACACGGCCCAGACUCCUACGGGAGGCAGCAGUGGGGAAUCUUGCGCAAUGGGCGAAAGCCUGACGCAGCGACGCCGCGUGCGGGAAGAAGGCCUGG